rnacentral:rRNA from 1 species
GUGCCAGCAGCCGCGGUAAUACGGAGGAUGCAAGCGUUAUCCGGAAUGAUUGGGCGUAAAGCGUCCGCAGGUGGCUGUGUAAGUCUGCUGUUAAAGCGUCUGGCUUAACCAGAUACAAGCAGUGGAAACUACACAGCUAGAGUGCGUUCGGGGCAGAGGGAAUUCCCAGUGUAGCGGUGAAAUGCGUAGAGAUUGGGAAGAACACCGGUGGAGAAAGCGCUCUGCUAGGCCGAAACUGACACUGAGGGACGAAAGCUAGGGGAGCGAAAGGGAUUAGAUACCCCUGUAGUCCUAGCUGUAAACGAUGGAGACUAGGUGUGGCCUGUAUCGACCCGGGCCGUGCCGGAGCUAACGCGUUAAGUCUCCCGCCUGGUGAGUACGCACGCAAGUGUGAAACUCAAAGGAAUUGACGGGG